UGGGAAAUCUUUGACUCAGCAGCAGCUGU
rnacentral:piRNA from 1 species